CCUCCGCCAGCCGCGUCCUCCCGGGCUCGGUGAGGAACUGUUCCUGGAGGAGCCGCGGGAUGCCGAAACCAGCCAAUGGGAAGCAGCGAGACGCGGAGAUUGGCACGGUGGAUGGGAAGUGAGUUCCUGGCUUGUCUGUCGGUGCAGCGCCAGAAGCAAGCUGCAGAACAGGAGUUACUGGGGACGGCAGUGACCAUGAAUCCCAAAGGAGGGUGAAGGCUGGGAGAGAAUGAGUCAAUGACCUGGAACAGGAAGCUGAAUCAACUCUUUCAGCAAGACUUAAAAGAAAAGAUUUUGGUUUUAUAAUCUCUAAAGCCUAAAAGAUACUGAAGCUUCCAGAAUGAGUCAGUACCUAAGACAGUGUUAUUAGAUACAGUAAUUACUGGAAUGAUAAAAUCCUUGUU
rnacentral:lncRNA from 1 species